GUAUUGCCUCAGUAACGGCGAGUGAAGCGGCAACAGCUCAAAUUUGAAAUCUGGCCUCACGGUCCGAGUUGUAAUUUGCAGAGGAUGUCUCGGGCGCGAUACCGGUCUAAGUUCCUUGGAACAGGACGUCACAGAGGGUGAGAAUCCCGUACGUGACCGGUGGUCAACCCCAUGUGAGGCUCCUUCGACGAGUCGAGUUGUUUGGGAAUGCAGCUCUAAAUGGGUGGUAAAUUUCAUCUAAAGCUAAAUAUUGGCCAGAGACCGAUAGCGCACAAGUAGAGUGAUCGAAAGAUGAAAAGCACUUUGGAAAGAGAGUUAAAAAGUACGUGAAAUUGUUGAAAGGGAAGCGCUUGCAACCAGACUUGCCCGCGGGUGAUCAACCGUCCUUCGGGGCGGUGCACUCGCCCGCGAUCAGGCCAGUAUCGGUUUCAGCAGCCGGACAAAGACUUCGGGAACGUGGCUCCUCUCGGGGAGUGUUAUAGCCCGGGGUGUAAUACGGUUAGUUGGGACCGAGGACCGCGCUUCGGCUAGGAUACUGGCGUAAUGGUUGUCAGCGACCCGUCUUGAAACACGGACCAAGA
rnacentral:rRNA from 1 species